rfam:Monodelphis domestica chromosome 1, whole genome shotgun sequence.
UUCACAGGAUGAUAGCAUCUUCUUAAACCCUUGAGGGGGAAUGAGAUGCUUGAGAGUCGUGAA